rnacentral:tRNA from 1 species
GCGGAAGUAGUUCAGUGGUAGAACAUCACCUUGCCAAGGUGGGGGUCGCGGGUUCAAAUCCCGUCUUCCGCUCCA